GGUAGGGGUAGCUCAGUGGUUAAGACGUCGGACUACUAACCGGAAAGUCAUGAGUUCAGUCCCCAGCACCACCA